GCUAGCGUAGCUCAAUGGCAGAGCAGCUGUUUUGUAAACAGCAGGUUGUGGGUUCAAAUCCCGCCGCUAGCUCCA
rnacentral:tRNA from 3 species